rnacentral:ncRNA from 1 species
ACAGGGGUGUCUAAAAAGACUGAGAUCAUACCCUUAGAACUUGAUCCGGUUCAUACCGGCGUAAGGAGGUUAUUAU